CGGGGUGCAGCAGGCGCGAAAACUUUACAAUGCAGGCAACUGCGAUAAGGGAACAUCGAGUGGCAUUCAUAAUGGGUGUCUGUCCACCCGUCUAAAAAACGGGUGUUAGUAAGGGCCGGGCAAGACCGGUGCCAGCCGCCGCGGUAAUACCGGCGGCUCGAGUGGUGGCCGAUAUUAUUGAGUCUAAAGGGUCCGUAGCCGGCUUUGCAAGUCUUUUGGGAAAUCCAGCGGCUUAACCGUUGGGCGGCCAUGAGAUACUACAUUGCUUGGGACUGGGAGAGGUAGGAGGUACUCAAGGGGUAGGAGUGAAAUCCUGUAAUCCUUUGGGGACCACCGGUGGCGAAGGCGUCCUACCAGAACAGGUCCGACGGUGAGGGACGAAAGCUAGGGGCACGAACCGGAUUAGAUACCCGGGUAGUCCUAGCCGUAAACGAUGCUCGCUAGGUGUCACGGCAGUCGUGAACUGCCGUGGUGCCGUAGGGAAGCCGUGAAGCGAGCCACUUGGGAAGUACGACCGCAAGGUUGAAACUUAAAGGAAUUGGCGGGGGAGCAC
rnacentral:rRNA from 1 species